rnacentral:rRNA from 2 species
UUUGAUCAUGGCUCAGAUUGAACGCUGGCGGCAGGCCUAACACAUGCAAGUCGAACGGUAACAGGAAGCAGCUUGCUGCUUCGCUGACGAGUGGCGGACGGGUGAGUAAUGUCUGGGAAACUGCCUGAUGGAGGGGGAUAACUACUGGAAACGGUAGCUAAUACCGCAUAAUGUCGCAGGACCAAAGAGGGGGACCUUCGGGCCUCUUGCCAUCAGAUGUGCCCAGAUGGGAUUAGCUUGUUGGUGAGGUAACGGCUCACCAAGGCGACGAUCCCUAGCUGGUCUGAGAGGAUGACCAGCCACACUGGAACUGAGACACGGUCCAGACUCCUACGGGAGGCAGCAGUGGGGAAUAUUGCACAAUGGGCGCAAGCCUGAUGCAGCCAUGCCGCGUGUAUGAAGAAGGCCUUCGGGUUGUAAAG